rnacentral:rRNA from 1 species
AGUCAAGUAAUUAAGUGCAUGUGGUGGAUGCCUUUGGCAGUCAGAGGCGAUGAAAGACGUGAUAGCCUGCGAAAAGCUCCGGGGAGGCGGCAAAUAUCCUUUGAUCCGGAGAUGUCUGAAUGGGGGAACCCACCUACUUUAAGGUAGGUAUUGCAACAUGAAUACAUAGUGUUGCAAGGCGAACGAGGGGAAGUGAAACAUCUCAGUACCCUUAGGAAAAGAAAUCAAUUGAGAUUCCCUCAGUAGCGGCGAGCGAACGGGGAUCAGCCCAUUAAGUUAUGUGUGUUUUAGUGGAACGCUCUGGGAAGUGCGAACGUAGAGGGUGAUAUUCCCGUACACGAAAGGGCACACAUAAUGAUGACGAGUAGGGCGAGGCACGUGAAACCUUGUCUGAAUAUGGGGGGACCAUCCUCCAAGGCUAAAUACUCCUGACUGACCGAUAGUGAACCAGUACCGUGAGGGAAAGGCGAAAAGAACCCCUGUGAGGGGAGUGAAAUAGAUCCUGAAACCGCAUGCAUACAAGCAGUGGGAGCACCUUCGUGGUGUGACUGCGUACCUUUUGUAUAAUGGGUCAGCGACUUAUAUUCAGUAGCGAGGUUAACCGUAUAGGGGAGCCGUAGAGAAAUCGAGUCUUAAUAGGGCGUUUAGUUGCUGGGUAUAGACCCGAAACCAGGCGAUCUAUCCAUGAGCAGGUUGAAGGUUGGGUAACACUAACUGGAGGACCGAACCCACUGUCGUUGAAAAGCCAGGGGAUGACUUGUGGAUAGGGGUGAAAGGCUAAUCAAGCCUGGUGAUAGCUGGUUCUCCCCGAAAGCUAUUUAGGUAGCGCCUCGGACGAAUACCAUAGGGGGUAGAGCACUGUUUCGGCUAGGGGGUCAUCCCGACUUACCAAACCGAUGCAAACUCCGAAUACCUAUGAGUACUAUCCGGGAGACAGACUGCGGGUGCUAACGUCCGUAGUCAAGAGGAAAACAAUCCAGACCGCCAGCUAAGGCCCCAAAAUCAUAGUUAAGUGGGAAACGAUGUGGAAGGCAUAGACAGCUAGGAGGUUGGCUUAGAAGCAGCCACCCUUUAAAGAAAGCGUAAUAGCUCACUAGUCGAGUCGGCCUGCGCGGAAGAUGUAACGGGGCUAAAACUAUGUGCCGAAGCUGCGGAUGUAUACUUUGUAUACGUGGUAGGGGAGCGUUCUGUAAGCCGAUGAAGGUGUGUUGAGAAGCAUGCUGGAGGUAUCAGAAGUGCGAAUGCUGACGUGAGUAACGACAAAACGGGUGAAAAACCCGUUCGCCGAAAGACCAAGGGUUCCAGUCCAACGUUAAUCGGGGCUGGGUGAGUCGACCCCUAAGGCGAGGCCGAAAGGCGUAGUCGAUGGGAAAAUGGUUAAUAUUCCAUUACUUCUGUGUAAUGCGAUGAGAGGACGGAGAAGGCUAAAUCAGCCUGGCGUUGGUUGUCCAGGUGAAAGGAUGUAGGCAUGUAUCUUAGGCAAAUCCGGGGUACUCUAUGCUGAGAUCUGAUAGCAAGCUGUACUUGUACAGCGAAGUGGUUGAUGCCAUGCUUCCAGGAAAAGUCUCUAAGCUUCAGUUACACAGGAAUCGUACCCGAAACCGACACAGGUGGUCAGGUCGAGUAGACCAAGGCGCUUGAGAGAACUCUGCUGAAGGAACUAGGCAAAAUGGUACCGUAACUUCGGGAGAAGGUACGCUGUUGUUGGUGAUGGAACUCGCUUCCUGAGCUGACGACAGCCGCAGAAACCAGGCCGCUGCAACUGUUUAUUAAAAACAUAGCACUCUGCAAACACGAAAGUGGACGUAUAGGGUGUGAUGCCUGCCCGGUGCUGGAAGGUUAAUUGAUGGGGUUAGCGUAAGCGAAGCUCUUGAUCGAAGCCCCAGUAAACGGCGGCCGUAACUAUAACGGUCCUAAGGUAGCGAAAUUCCUUGUCGGGUAAGUUCCGACCUGCACGAAUGGCAUAAUGAUGGCGGCGCUGUCUCCAGCAGAGGCUCAGUGAAAUCGAAAUCGCUGUGAAGAUGCAGUGUACCCGCGGCUAGACGGAAAGACCCCGUGAACCUUUACUGCAGCUUGACACUGAACUUUGACCUUACUUGUGUAGGAUAGGUGGGAGGCUUUGAAGCUGGAACGCUAGUUCCAGUGGAGCCGUCCUUGAAAUACCACCCUGGUAAUGUUGAGGUUCUAACUCUGUCCCGUGAUCCGGGACGAGGACCGUGUCUGGUGGGUAGUUUGACUGGGGCGGUCUCCUCCUAAAGAGUAACGGAGGAGUACGAAGGUGCGCUCAGCGUGGUCGGAAAUCACGCGUAGAGUAUAAAGGCAAAAGCGCGCUUAACUGCGAGACCCACAAGUCGAGCAGGUACGAAAGUAGGUCUUAGUGAUCCGGUGGUUCUGUAUGGAAGGGCCAUCGCUCAACGGAUAAAAGGUACUCUGGGGAUAACAGGCUGAUACCGCCCAAGAGUUCAUAUCGACGGCGGUGUUUGGCACCUCGAUGUCGGCUCAUCUCAUCCUGGGGCUGAAGCAGGUCCCAAGGGUAUGGCUGUUCGCCAUUUAAAGAGGUACGCGAGCUGGGUUUAGAACGUCGUGAGACAGUUCGGUCCCUAUCUACCGUGGGCGCUGGAAAUUUGAGAGGAUCUGCUCCUAGUACGAGAGGACCAGAGUGGACGAACCUCUGGUGUACCGGUUGUGACGCCAGUCGCAUCGCCGGGUAGCUAUGUUCGGAAGGGAUAACCGCUGAAAGCAUCUAAGCGGGAAGCCUACCUCAAGAUAAGAUUUCCCUAGGACUUUAUGUCCUCUAAAGAGCCGUUCGAGACUAGGACGUUGAUAGGUUGGAUGUGGAAGCAUAGUGAUAUGUGAAGCUGACCAAUACUAAUUGCUCGUGAGGCUUGACUAU